AGGGGCGUAAGCUUAAUGGUAAACUGCUUCUCUCCAAAAGAAGUCUUGAGGGUUCGAAUCCUUCCGCCCCUG
rnacentral:tRNA from 1 species